AGGAGGAGAAACAGUCUGACGUCCAUCAAAAUGACGAAAAUGCAACCAUGGUGACCGACAACGAGACUACAGCUAAGAAGGAGCGAAGGAGAAAGAAAAGAGAAAAAAGGGACAGAGAGAUGAUUGAUAGAGAAGGUUUAAUAAAUCCUACAACUGUGGUAGAUGCUUCGCAUACCGAAAAUUACCCCAGCUUAUCACACAAUGACCGAACACACCUACUCUCUCCCGCAACAAACGGGGUCACAGAAUGAUCAAACACAUUUACCCCAGCCGCUCACAGUGUCGCACAAUGUAAAUAAGGAUCCAACCAGGACAAAGAAGAAAAAGAGAAGAAAGUUAGAGGAAGAACCAGACACCAGAGAGACGUCAAUGAUUAGUAUUGAUAGCUGAAAAUGUGACGUUAUAGAAGUUUUAAGAUCUUUUUUUACGUUUUCGUGUGAUAAUUUUGAAUUUCUAAAUAUUUUUUAAUGUUAUCCGGAAUAAUAUUCUCGCAACGCCCUGAUAAUGACGUCCUAUCAAAACAAAGGAGAUCAAUUGUGUUAAUUUGUAUGUCGUAACGUGAAGUUAAUAUGUGAUAACGUACUAUCGUUCUUGUGUCGUUGUCGUUGGAAGCAAUAAUUCCAUACGUAUUUUCUUGUCUGUUUUAUUGACACAUUUCUUUUACUUGUGUUGAGGAUUGAAUGUUGUUGUUACAAUUCAAUUCACCACCCAAUGAAAUCGACCAAAGCAGCAUUCAAUCCUCAUAUUCAGAUAACAUGCAUUUUUCCUAAUUGUGCAAGUCUAAUAAUUUGUGUUAAACGAAAUAGUCUGUAAUUGGAAGAGGAUACGUUUAUACAAAACUUUCGCAAUAACAAAAUAUCAAAAAUAGCAUGAUUUAAUUGAAAUAUUAAUUUUGUCGUUGAAUUGAAGAUUUAUUAUAAAAACGCUCCGCCAGUUGUGCUGAUGAUUAAUGACUACAUUGUGUUCUCCAGUUGUCUCCCGCUUCACCAUCUUGACAGCGACUUGACACGAAUGCUUGAUUCCCAGUCCACUGUCCGCACGGACGGUUUACAGGAUCGGGAUAGAAUCGGUUCGUCUAAGAGAUGAUUAUGUACAUGUGUUAAUUUGGGUAAUAAAUGGGGAUAAAUAAAGCAGUUUGAAUGAAUUUUGAAUAAAUACAAAAUCAGGCAUCAUUCUUGGGAGGGAAGUAGGAAUGUUUACCUCUUUUUUCAAUAGACUAGACUAGACUAGAAUACAAAUCUAACAAAGAGUCUUAUUCACUUCAUCCAAACCCCUGAUAGGCUCACAUGUAUGUUAUUUCCGACUCAGAACUCAGAGUAUUCCCCACAAAGGCUUAAUGUACACGUAUCAUUUAGGUAUAGGCCUACAAUCUAGGGCAGAAGCGUGCACUUUAAUAUUUUCAUAUGCGUAGAUUGAUUUUUAUCUGGUCAAAUUAAACAGCUUUAAUUUGGUAGUUUCAUUGAGGCCAACUUUAAUAGAAAUUGAUAUAUUUGUUUUGUUUGUUGAAUGUUUAGUUUUGUUGUUGUUGUUUUGUUGUUUUUUGUUUUUUGUUUUGAUAAUUUUCUUAUCAGCAUUUCUAAAAUGCAAUAAACUAGUGUUUCAAUA